GACGAACGCUGGCGGCGUGCUUAACACAUGCAAAUCGAGCGGAGCGGUGAACGGGUGAGUAACGCGUGAGUAACUGCCCCCCUCUCUGUGAUAACAGGUGGAAACGGCUUCUAAUACCGGAUAGUGGGGGAUGACUCGCGUCCUAUCCGCUUGUUGGUGGGGUAGUGGCCUACCAAGGCGACGACGGGUAGCCGGCCUGAGAGGGCGACCGGCCAAAUUGGGCAGUGAUACGGUCGAAGCUACUACGGGAGGCAGCAAAGGGGAAGAGUGCACAAUGGGGGAAACACUGAGGCAGCAAAACGCGUACGGGAUGAUGGCCUUCAGGUUGUGAACCGCUUUCAGCCCUGACACGAUAGUGGGAGAAGAAGAACCGGCGAGAUACAUGUCAGCAGCCGCGGUAAUAC
rnacentral:rRNA from 1 species